rnacentral:rRNA from 1 species
GACGAACGCUGGCGGCGUGCUUAACACAUGCAAGUCGAACGGGCCCGCCCCUGUUUUUGGGGGUGGGUUGAGUGGCGAACGGGUGAGUAUCACGUGAGUAACCUGCCCCCUGCUCCUGGAUAACUGCUUGAAAGGGCGGCUAAUACGGGGUGUGCCGGCUGGUCCGCAUGGGCCUGGUCGGGAUAGUUUCAUCUUCGGGUGUUUCGGUGGGGGAUGGGCUCGCGGCCUAUCAGCUUGUUGGUGGGGUGAUGGCCCACCAAGGCGGUGACGGGUAGCCGGCCUGCGAGGGUGGGCGGCUACACUGGGACUGAGACACGGCCCAGUCUCCUGCGGGCGGCAGCCGUGGGGGGUAUUGCACAAUGGGCGGAAGCCUGAUGCAGCGACGUCGCGUGAGGGAUGGAGGCCUUCGGGUGGUGAACCUCUUUCUCCGGUGGUGAAGGCCCUGUCCGUUGCGGCGGGGUUGACGGUAGCCGGGUAUGAAGCGCCGGCUAACUACGUG